CUUUACUGUAGCCUGGAAUUGGGUCCGGGCUUCGCUUGCGCAGGAUAGGUGGGAGGCACUGAAACACUCCUUGUGGGGAGUGUGGAGCCAACGGUGAGAUACCACUCUUUCAGAGCUAGGGUUCUAACGGUCACCCGUCAUCCGGGGACCGGACAGUAUCAGGUGGGCAGUUUGACUGGGGCGGUCGCCUCCUAAAAGGUAACGGAGGCGCGCAAAGGUUCCCUCCGGCUGGUUGGAAAUCAGCCCGUGAAGUGCAAAGGCAUAAGGGAGCUUGACUGCAAGAGCCACACCUCGAGCAGGGACGAAAGUCGGCCUUAGUGAUCCGACGGCGCUGAGUGGAAGGGCCGUCGCUCAACGGAUAAAAGUUA
rnacentral:rRNA from 1 species